rnacentral:rRNA from 1 species
AGCAUAUCAAUAAGCGGAGGAAAAGAAACCAACAGGGAUUGCCCUAGUAACGGCGAGNGAAGCGGCAACAGCUCAAAUUUGAAAUCNGGCUUCGGCCCGAGUUGUAAUUUGCAGAGGAAGCUUCNGGCGNGGCGCNGUCNGAGUCCCCUGGAACGGGGCGCCAUAGAGGGUGAGAGCCCCGUAUGGAUGGAUGCCUAGCCUGUGUGAAGCUCCUUCGACGAGUCGAGUAGUUUGGGAAUGCUGCUCAAAAUGGGAGGUAAAUUCCUUCUAAAGCUAAAUAUUGGCCAGAGACCGAUAGCGCACAAGUAGAGUGAUCGAAAGAUGAAAAGCACUUUGAAAAGAGGGUUAAAUAGCACGNGAAAUUGUUGAAAGGGAAGCGCUUAUNACCAGACUUGCGCCAGGNUGAUCAUCCGGUGUUCUCACCGGUGCACUCUGCCUGGCUCAGGCCAGCAUCGGUUUCAGNGGGGGGAUAAAGGCNUAGGGAANGUAGNUCCUCCGGGAGUGUUAUAGCCCNGGGNGCAAUGCCCCCGCCGGGACCGAGGUUC